rnacentral:rRNA from 1 species
GACGAACGCUGGCGGCGUGCCUAAUACAUGCAAGCCGAGCGGAAGUUGAAGAGCUUGCUCUUCAACUUUAGCGGCGGACGGGUGAGUAACACGUGGGCAACCUGCCCUGCAGAUCGGGAUAACUCCGGGAAACCGGUGCUAAUACCGAAUAGUUUUCGCCACCUCCUGGUGGCGUACGGAAAGACGGUUUCGGCUGUCACUGCAGGAUGGGCCCGCGGCGCAUUAGCUAGUUGGUGGGGUAACGGCCCACCAAGGCGACGAUGCGUAGCCGACCUGAGAGGGUGAUCGGCCACGCUGGGACGGAGACACGGCCCAGACUCCUACGGGAGGCAGCAGUAGGGAAUCUUCCGCAAUGGACGAAAGUCUGACGGAGCAACGCCGCGUGAGUGACGAAGGUUUUCGGAUCGUAAAACUCUGUUGUGAGGGAAGAACAAGUACCAACUAACUACUGGUACCUUGACGGUACCUCACCAGAAAGCCACGGCUAACUACGUGCCAGCAGCCGCAGUAACAC